UACGUAGGGGGCUAGCGUUGUCCGGAAUCAUUGGGCGUAAAGAGCGCGUAGGCGGCCAGAUAAGUCCGGUGUGAAAGUCAAAGGCUCAACCUUUGAAUGCCGCUGGAAACUGUCUGGCUAGAGUCCGGAAGAGGAGAGUGGAAUUCCGUGGUGUAGCGGUGAAAUGCGCAGAUAUCAGGAGGAACACCGGUGGCGAAGGCGGGUCUCUGGGCCGAUACUGACGCUGAGGAGCGAAAGCGUGGGGAGCGAACAGG
rnacentral:rRNA from 1 species